CAGACAACCAGGAUGUUGGCUUAGAAGCAGCCACUCAUUUAAAGAGUGCGUAAUAGCUCACUGGUCGAGUGAUCCUGCGCCGAAAAUUUCCGGGGCUAAAACGUACUACCGAAGCUACGGCAUCAUUUAUGAUGGGUAGGGGAGCUUCGUAUGCAGGCUGAAGCAUGACCGUAAGGACAUGUGGACAGUAUACAAGUGAGAAUGUUGGCAUGAGUAGCGAGACGUGGGUGAGAAUCCCACGGGCCGUAAACCCAAGGUUUCCAGGGGAAGGUUCGUCCGCCCUGGGUUAGUCGGGACCUAAGCCGAGGCCGAAAGGCGUAGGUGAUGGACAACAGGUUGAUAUUCCUGUACCACCAAUAACCGUUUGAGGAAUGGGAUGACACAGUAGGAUAAGCUAACCACACUGUUGGUUAUGUGUGGCUAAGUACUGAGGCAGUCAAGAUAGGCAAAUCCGUCUUGAUAAUGCUAGGGUACGAUGGGGAGCCCUUUUGGGCGAAGUAGCUGAUUUCACACUGUCGAGAAAAGUCUCUACCGAGGUUAAAGGUGCCCGUACCGUAAACCGACACAGGUGGGUGAGGAGAGUAUCCUAAGGCCAGCGAGAGAACUAUUGUUAAGGAACUCGGCAAAAUGACCCCGUAACUUAGGGAUAAGGGGUGCCAUCCUUUGGAUGGCCGCAGAGAAUAGGCCCAAGCGACUGUUUACCAAAAACACAGGUUUCUGCUAAGUCGCAAGACGAUGUAUAGGAGCUGACGCCUGCCCGGUGCUGGAAGGUUAAGGGGAUCUGUUAGGAGUAAUCCGAAGCAGUGAACUUAAGCCCCAGUAAACGGCGGCCGUAACUAUAACGGUCCUAAGGUAGCGAAAUUCCUUGUCGGGUAAGUUCCGACCCGCACGAAAGGCGUAACGAUUUGGGCACUGUCUCAACAAUAGACUCGGUGAAAUUGUAAUCCCGGUGAAGAUGCCGGGUACCUGCGACAGGACGGAAAGACCCCAUGGAGCUUUACUGUAGCUUGACGUUGGGUCUUGGUACUACAUGUACAGGAUAGGUGGGAGACUAUGAAGCAUGGACGCCAGUCUGUGUGGAGUCACCCUUGGGAUACCACCCUUGUAGUACUGGGAUCCUAACCAGAGGCCUUGAAUCAGGUCUUGGGACACCGUCAGGUGGGCAGUUUGACUGGGGCGGUCGCCUCCCAAAAAGUAACGGAGGCGCUCAAAGGUUUCCUCAGCACGGUCGGAAAUCGUGCGAAGAGUGUAAAGGCAAAAGGAAGCUUGAUUGCAAGACAUACAGGUCGAGCAAGGACGAAAGUCGGACUUAGUGAUCCGGUGGUUCCGCAUGGAAGGGCCAUCGCUCAACGGAUAAAAGCUACCCUGGGGAUAACAGGCUUAUCUCCCCCAAGAGUCCACAUCGACGGGGAGGUUUGGCACCUCGAUGUCGGCUCAUCACAUCCUGGGGCUGUAGUAGGUCCCAAGGGUUGGGCUGUUCGCCCAUUAAAGUGGUACGCGAGCUGGGUUCAGAACGUCGUGAGACAGUUCGGUCCCUAUCCGUCGCAGGCGUAGGAAAUUUGAGGAGACCUGUCCUUAGUACGAGAGGACCGGGAUGGACGUACCUCUGGUGUACCAGUUGUUCUGCCAAGGGCAUGGCUGGGUAGCUAUGUACGGAAUGGAUAAGCGCUGAAAGCAUCUAAGCGCGAAGCCAACUUCAAGAUAAGAUUUCCCACCGUAAGGGUAAGACCCCAGGAAGACUACCUGGUUGA
rnacentral:rRNA from 1 species